AUCCAGACUCCUACGGGAGGCAGCAGUGAGGAAUAUUGGUCAAUGGGCGGGAGCCUGAACCAGCCAAGUCGCGUGAGGGACGACGGUCCUAUGGAUUGUAAACCUCUUUUGUCGGGGAACAAAGGCGCCCACGGGUGGGCGGAUGAGUGUACCCGAAGAAAAAGCAUCGGCUAACUCCGUGCCAGCAGCCGCGGUAAUACGUAGGUGGCAAGCGUUGUCCGGAUUUACUGGGUGUAAAGGGCGUGUAGCCGGGCUGACAAGUCAGAUGUGAAAUCCCGUGGCUCAACCACGGAACUGCAUUUGAAACUGUCGGUCUUGAGUAUCGGAGAGGCAGGCGGAAUUCCUAGUGUAGCGGUGAAAUGCGUAGAUAUCAGGAGGAACACCGGUGGCGAAGGCGGCUUACUGGACCAUAACUGACGUUGAGGCUCGAAAGCGUGGGGAGCGAACAGGAUUAGAUACCCCCGUA
rnacentral:rRNA from 1 species